GACGAACGCUGGCGGCGUGCUUAACACAUGCCAGUCGAACGGAAAGGCCCUGCUUUUGUGGGGUGCUCGAGUGGCGAACGGGUGAGUAACACGUGAGUAACCUGCCCUUGACUUUGGGAUAACUUCAGGAAACUGGGGCUAAUACCGGAUAGGAGCUCCUGCUGCAUGGUGGGGGUUGGAAAGUUUCGGCGGUUGGGGAUGGACUCGCGGCUUAUCAGCUUGUUGGUGGGGUAGUGGCUUACCAAGGCUUUGACGGGUAGCCGGCCUGAGAGGGUGACCGGCCACAUUGGGACUGAGAUACGGCCCAGACUCCUACGGGAGGCAGCAGUGGGGAAUAUUGCACAAUGGGCGGAAGCCUGAUGCAGAAACGCCGCGUGCGGGAUGACGGCCUUCGGGUUGUAAACCGCUUUCGCCUGUGACGAAGCGUGAGUGACGGUAAUGGGUAAAGAAGCACCGGCUAACUACGU
rnacentral:rRNA from 1 species